AAGGGGCCGGUAGUACCAAAUUAUCAAUGUUGCCGACGUUUCUUGGCCUUGUUUAAAAUUUGGGGAGAUGGAUUGGGUUUGUCAUCAUCAGCAAUCUCUUUCUAAUACUGUCGAUCAGGAGAAUACUAUUAGUUGCAGAAAGUAGAAACAUGGCCACACAACCGGAGACGGUGUUAAAAAGGACGGCUUGCGUCGUCGGAGGCAGCGGCUUCAUUGCCUCUCUUCUUGUCAAAUUAUUGCUUGAGAAGGGCUAUGCUGUCAACACCACUGUCAGGGACCCUGAUAACCUGAAGAAGGUCUCUCACCUGCUGGAGAUGCAAGUCUGGGAGACCGAAAAUCUUUCGAGCAGAUCUAACUGAUGAGGGAAGCUUCGACGCUGCUGUAUCCGGGUGUGACUUAGUAUUCCACGUCGCUACACCGGUGAACUUUGUUUCCCCGGACCCGGAGCACGAUGUAGCUGCUCCUAGUUGGAGGUGGUCUGGUUUUCAGACGGACGGCGAACUGAACCUACAAGGAUAUCAGAGAAUCUGGGGAUGCUAACCCGGCGAGGUCGCUCCGAUGCUUAAGUCAGUAGGCUAGUAGCGAGCUGAAAUUGCUUUGAAAGUAAAGAGCUUGAGAGCAAGAAAAUCACGCAUACCUUGCACCCUCGGGGGGUGGAGCCCUUGUAUAAUGGAGUCCUCGCGGGUUUUGCGGAGUGGUUCCAAGAUCCUCGUCACGAUGAGAUCCGCUUCCGCAUUAAUGGGGGAUAACUGAUAGGGUUUGUCGAGUCCGCCCUAAUCGAUCAGGGGAGAUAACGCUGGCUGUUACGUGGCGUGAUCCCGUGAAGUCCGGGAACCGUCGGAGGGAUUUUCGGGAUCACAUAGUGGCGUGACGGUAUCCCCGGACUGAUGUCUUUAAGUCCCGAACUGGGUUGGAUGCCGGUGUGCCUUGGCAUUGGGCUGUUCUUGUUUGCGAUCUGGUAUCGAGUCGAUCUCGUCUCGAGGUGAGCUUGUUCCAAGGUCAAUUUAGCUCGAGGUGGUUGGGUACCCGAGCUCGAUCUGCUGUACACUCGUUAAGGUGAGUUGUCAUCUUUUGAUCAGGUUGUGUCCACGUGUCCCCCUGUUACGAGGUCGGGCCAAAUCACCCUUCAUUAA